CAACGUAGGUAACCUGCCCAUGUGCCCGGGAUAACUUCUGGAAACGGAUGCUAAAACCGGAUAGGUAGCAGACAAGCAUUUGACUGCUAUUAAAGUGGCUAAGGCCAUGAACAUGGAUGGACCUGCGGUGCAUUAGCUAGUUGGUGAGGUAACGGCCCACCAAGGCGACGAUGCAUAGCCGGCCUGAGAGGGCGGACGGCCACAUUGGGACUGAGACACGGCCCAGACUCCUACGGGAGGCAGCAUG
rnacentral:rRNA from 1 species